rnacentral:rRNA from 1 species
UCAGGAAUAUUGCGCAAUGGAGGAAACUCUGACGCAGCGACGCCGCGUGGGUGAUGAAGGCCUUCGGGUCGUAAAGCCCUGUCGGAGGGGAAGAAAAGCCUGCUGGCUAAUAUCCAGUAGGCAUCUGACGGUACCCUCAAAGGAAGCACCGGCUAACUCCGUGCCAGCAGCCGCGGUAAGACGGAGGGUGCAAGCGUUGUUCAGAUUGACUGGGCGUAAAGGGCGUGUAGGCGGUCGGUCAAGUCCGAUGUGAAAGCCCGGGGCUCAGCCCCGGAAGGGCAUCGGAAACUAGCCGGCUGGAGCGCGAUAGAGGAGGGUAGAAUUCCUGGUGUAGCGGUGAAAUGCGUAGAUAUCAGGAGGAAUACCGGCGGCGAAGGCGGCCCUCUGGAUCGUUGCUGACGCUGAGACGCGAAAGCGUGGGGAGCAAACAGGAUUAGAUACCCCCGUAGUCC